CAUACAGGUGAUGCACACCCACCUUACCAACCUCACGGAGGGACUCAGUUUAGUACCAUGGCACCAGCUGCAGGGAUGUCAUUUCAACCAACACAGGCACCACCACGACCUUUCGGUAGACAUAUAGUCAAUAUCUUAAUUUCAAUUAAUUGUGGUAUGAAGUCUAAUUCCUUUUGUAUUUACAUAUAGGAUCACAACAGUUAUAUGAUGCUGGACCUUCUUCGUAUUACCCUACGGCGACAGCAGAAGGAACGCAAGGAUCGCACCACCAGCUUUCUGAUAUGGGUCAUUCUUCGUAUCCACCACCACCAGGGCCCACACAGGAUACCUUUGAGGCGAACUUCGAAGAUUGGAGUCGGUUAUUUUCUACACCUAACCAGCAGGCCGAUCCUACCUUGCAGACACCUAUGGCCACCGGACAUCCAGGUAGAGACGUAGGGCCUCCAGAGCGGCACACCUACUCUACAGACCACGUCCACGCUCAGCAUAAAAGAGGUCGACAUGGCCGGGGUGGCCGGGGUGGUUAGGAGGUGCUUCUAGCUGUUUCC